UGAGGAAUAUUGGUCAAUGGCCGUAAGGCUGAACCAGCCAUGCCGCGUGAAGGAAGACGGCCCUAUGGGUUGUAAACUUCUUUUCUCAGGGGGUAAACUCUGGAACGUGUUCCGGACUGAAAGUACCUGAGGAAUAAGCAUCGGCUAACUCCGUGCCAGCAGCCGCGGUAAUACGGAGGAUGCGAGCGUUAUCCGGAUUCAUUGGGUUUAAAGGGUGCGCAGGCGGAUAUAUAAGUCGGAGGUGAAAUUCUGAUGCUCAACAUCAGCCGUGCCUUCGAUACUGUAUAUCUAGAGUCAAGUUGGAGUAGGCGGAAUGUGGUGUGUAGCGGUGAAAUGCUUAGAUAUAACACAGAACACCGAUCGCGAAGGCAGCUUACUAAACUUUGACUGACGCUCAUGCACGAAAGCGUGGGGAGCAAACA
rnacentral:rRNA from 1 species